UACAUGAGUGACAAGCGUUAUUCGUAAUAAUUGGGCGUUAAGGGUGUGUAGACGGUUUAAGAAGUUUUAAUUAACUAAAUUAGUUUAUUAGGGAAAUUAAAAUACCUUAAAACUUGAGUAAAAUUUAAAUAAUUAUAAUUCAUAGAUUAGCGAUAAAAUGCAGUGAUUUUAUGGGUAAUAUCAAUUACGAAAGUAAAUUGUUAUUUUUUACUGACGUUGAAACACUAAAGUAUAGUUAUCAAAUAGG
rnacentral:rRNA from 1 species